AAAUUAAAUCAGAUUAAAUUGAGUUGGAUAGACUGAAAAAAUGAAGUUGAAUAAACUUAAUUCAAUUACGUCUUACCAUUUGCAGUGAUUGGCUAACGUUGGAUCAGUUUUUUCCUUUCAGAGUGCGGUUCCUCUUUGGCUGUGAUCCACACUUGAACCUUAACGUGUUUUCUUCGUUGGCUAGAACUAAGAACUGCACUUCUGAUCCAAACAGCAUCACGUUGGUGUCGGUUGGCCUCGUUUCCAUGUAAACAGAGCUGAAACUAACGAGACGUUCUUAAAACCAGACACACCCAGACAACCUCAGAAAGCUGCACCAACGUCACCAAACUCCAAGAAUGUCUUCACCUGAUGGUCAGGGAGGUUUUGGCCCCGGAACAAGUCCACGUCCAGAGAAUGAUUGUUCCCCUGAUCUCCUCCAGGAUGUCAUCACACAAAUCAAAAAUGUCAUCACGUCUGCAAUCAGUCAAUCAAUGUUCAGAGCGGUUCAAUGCAAACCUCAUGUCGAGCUCCAGCUCUGCAGAAAAGCCCUGCAGGUUCAGUUCUGGAGGUCGCUGGGAUCCAGAGUGAUGGUCUGAGGUUCUCUGCAGUCCAGCACAGAACCGCCAGUCUGUCUUCAAAACAGAUUCAGGACUAAAGGAGAUCAUUUGGGAGAACGCACACUUCUGAUGUCCGCUCAAGCUAAGUCUUUUCACGGAGGAUGAAACCUUCUCGUUAAUGAUGGAGGAUGUGCCCGACGGUGGGAGAAAAGCAGGGAGGAUUCUGGGCUUUCAGAAAAGGAAAAAUAGUCUCAGUCCCAGGCAGCUGUCCUCACAGGUGGACACGGCCGUCUGCAGGUGAGAAAUGGUCAAACCUGUACGGCUCACACAGGUGACCUGCAUGAAAUAUCACCGUGGUGGACGCUCGGUGACCCCGUAGAGAGAAAAAUUUCAUUUUUUUCUACGUUCAUGGUGCGGGCGACAGGUCAUAGAGAACACUUCUACAACACAUGAGGGGGAGUCAGGGGGAGUCAGGGGGACGUAGGUGAUGCAGCCAGAAAACGAGUUAGAGGAGCUGCAAACAAGGAGCAACAGGUUGGAGGUCGGAUGGGAUUCUUGUUUUUAUGGUGUUGUCAAUGAAUGUUGCACUGUGACACCGGGCUCUCCGGGUGAACCUGGGAACCAAAGCAACACGUCCUAACCUCAGUCAUAAAGCUUGGUUCUGAUUAUUCCAGAGUUCUGAUGGGCUUGACUGUAAACAGAAUCUUU